AAGUCGUAACAAGGUUUCCGUAGGUGAACCUGCGGAAGGAUCAUUAACACGUUAUCCAUACGUAAACCAACGAGAACUGUUUUCACCCUCCCUUGACGGAGAAUGAGCGGAAAUCGUAGAGGUGUUGAAAGGGAUUGUUUAAUCGUCAGCCUCUACUUUCUAUCUUUGUAAAAUAGAAAUAUUUUGCAUUAACGCUGUAUCUUUUGUUGAGGUUAUUCUGCACAGACUUCUCCUUUCAUUGAAGCGCUGCUGUGAGAAACUUAUUUAACCUAUUUCACCUUUUUUGCUAGUUGACUUUUAUAUGUUGUUCUUUGCGUUUCGGCGUAAGGUUCACACGUUUAAUUAUUUGAACGUUAAAUUUACAACUCUUAGCAAUGGAUAUCUUGGUUCUC
rnacentral:misc_RNA from 1 species